UAACCUGCCCAAGAGAUCGGGAUAACACCUGGAAACAGAUGCUAAUACCGGAUAACAACAGAUGAUGCCUAUCAACUGUUUAAAAGAUGGUUCUGCUAUCACUCUUGGAUGGACCUGCGGUGCAUUAGCUAGUUGGUAGGGUAACGGCCUACCAAGGCUAUGAUGCAUAGCCGAGUUGAGAGACUGAUCGGCCACAUUGGGACUGAGACACGGCCCAAACUCCUACGGGAGGCAGCAGAU
rnacentral:rRNA from 1 species